ensembl:snRNA U2 U2 spliceosomal RNA
AUCUGUUCUUAUAAAUGAUGUAAAAAAUGUAUGAGCUGUUCUUAUCAGUUUAAUAUCUGAUACGUCCCCUAUCUGGGGACCAUAUAUUAAAUUGAUUUUUGGAAUAGGGAGAUGGAAUAGGGGCUUGCUCCGUCCACUCCACGCAUCGACCUGGUAUUGCAGUACCUCCAGGAACGGUGCACCCCCU